AUCGCUUCUCGCCUUUUGGCUAAGAUCAAGUGCAGUAUCUGUUCUUAUCAGUUUAAUAUUUGAUACGUCCUCUAUCUGAGGACAAUAUGUUAAAAGGAUUUUUGGAAACAGGAGAUGGAAUAGAAGCUUGCUCCGUCACUCCACGCAUUGACCUGGUAUUGCAAUACCUCCAGGAACGGGUGCACCAAAA
rnacentral:snRNA from 1 species